GGAAUGUGACUCAGUGGUAGAGUGCUUGCCUAGCAUGCAUGAAGCCCUGGGUUCGAUUCCUCAGUACCA
rnacentral:tRNA from 1 species